rnacentral:rRNA from 1 species
UCCGGGGGGGGCAAGCGUUGUUCGGAAUUACUGGGCGUAAAGGGCUCGUAGGCGGCCAACUAAGUCAGACGUGAAAUCCCUCGGCUUAACCGGGGAACUGCGUCUGAUACUGGAUGGCUUGAGUUUGGGAGAGGGAUGCGGAAUUCCAGGUGUAGCGGUGAAAUGCGUCGAGAUUGGGAAGAACAUCAGUGGCGAAAGCGCUCUACUGGACCUUAUCUGACAUUGAGGGACGAAAGCUAGGGGAGCGAAUGGG